AAAGAGUGGCGAACGGGUGAGUAACACGUGGGAAACCUACCUCUUAGCAGGGGAUAACAUUUGGAAACAGAUGCUAAUACCGUAUAACAAUGACAACCGCAUGGUUGUUAUUUAAAAGAUGGUUCUGCUAUCACUAAGAGAUGGUCCCGCGGUGCAUUAGCUAGUUGGUAAGGUAAUGGCUUACCAAGGCGAUGAUGCAUAGCCGAGUUGAGAGACUGAUCGGCCACAAUGGGACUGAGACACGGCCCAUACUCCUACGGGAGGCAGCAGUAGGGAAUCUUCCACAAUGGGCGAAAGCCUGAUGGAGCAACGCCGCGUGUGUGAUGAAGGGUUUCGGCUCGUAAAACACUGUUGUAAGAGAAGAAUGACAUUGAGAGUAACUGUUCAAUGUGUGACGGUAUCUUACCAGAAAGGAACGGCUAAAUACGUGCCAGCAGCCGCGGUAAUACGUAUGUUCCAAGCGUUAUCCGGAUUUAUUGGGCGUAAAGCGAGCGCAGACGGUUAUUUAAGUCUGAAGUGAAAGCCCUCAGCUCAACUGAGGAAUUGCUUUGGAAACUGGAUGACUUGAGUGCAGUAGAGGAAAGUGGAACUCCAUGUGUAGCGGUGAAAUGCGUAGAUAUAUGGAAGAACACCAGUGGCGAAGGCGGCUUUCUGGACUGUAACUGACGUUGAGGCUCGAAAGUGUGGGUAGCAAACAGGAUUAGAUACCCUGGUAGUCCACACCGUAAACGAUGAGUGCUAGGUGUUUGAGGGUUUCCGCCCUUAAGUGCCGCAGCUAACGCAUUAAGCACUCCGCCUGGGGAGUACGACCGCAAGGUUGAAACUCAAAGGAAUUGACGGGGACCCGCACAAGCGGUGGAGCAUGUGGUUUAAUUCGAAGCAACGCGAAGAACCUUACCAGGUCUUGACAUCCCUUGACAACUCCAGAGAUGGAGCGUUCCCUUCGGGGACAAGGUGACAGGUGGUGCAUGGUUGUCGUCAGCUCGUGUCGUGAGAUGUUGGGUUAAGUCCCGCAACGAGCGCAACCCUUAUUACUAGUUGCCAGCAUUCAGUUGGGCACUCUAGUGAGACUGCCGGUGACAAACCGGAGGAAGGUGGGGAUGACGUCAAAUCAUCAUGCCCCUUAUGACCUGGGCUACACACGUGCUACAAUGGCGUAUACAACGAGUUGCCAACCCGCGAGGGUGAGCUAAUCUCUUAAAGUACGUCUCAGUUCGGAUUGUAGGCUGCAACUCGCCUACAUGAAGUCGGAAUCGCUAGUAAUCGCGGAUCAGCACGCCGCGGUGAAUACGUUCCCGGGUCUUGUACACACCGCCCGUCACACCAUGAGAGUUUGUAACACCCAAAGCC
rnacentral:rRNA from 1 species